AGAGUUUGAUCCUGGCUCAGGACGAACGCUGGCGGCGUGCCUAAUACAUGCAAGUCGAGCGGACCCUUCGGGGUUAGCGGCGGACGGGUGAGUAACACGUAGGUAACCUGCCUGUAAGAUCGGGAUAACUACCGGAAACGGUAGCUAAGACCGGAUAGCUAAGCGAAACGCAUGUUUCGCUUAUGAAACACGGAGCAAUC
rnacentral:rRNA from 1 species